UACUAGCGGUCCAAGUCGCAACCAUUUUUAUUGGGUCUAAAACAUCCGUAGCUUGCUUAAUAAGUUCCUUGUGAAAUCCUACCUCUUAAGGGUAGGGCGUGCAAGGAGUACUGUUGAGCUAGAGACUGGAAGACGUGAGAAGUACAUUCAAAGUAGUGGUAAAAUACGUUAAUCUUGGGUGGACUAACAAUAGCGAAGGCAUCUCACGAGAACAGUUCUGACAGUCAGGGAUGAAAGCUAGGGGCGCAAAACG
rnacentral:rRNA from 1 species